GGGACACGUGGUAUCCUGUCUGAAUAUGGGGGGACCAUCCUCCAAGGCUAAAUACUCCUGACUGACCGAUAGUGAACCAGUACCGUGAGGGAAAGGCGAAAAGAACCCCGGCGAGGGGAGUGAAAAAGAACCUGAAACCGUGUACGUACAAGCAGUGGGAGCCUCUUAAUGGGGUGACUGCGUACCUUUUGUAUAAUGGGUCAGCGACUUAUAUUCUGUAGCAAGGUUAACCGAAUAGGGGAGCCGAAGGGAAACCGAGUCUUAACUGGGCGUUAAGUUGCAGGGUAUAGACCCGAAACCCGGUGAUCUAGCCAUGGGCAGGUUGAAGGUUGGGUAACACUAACUGGAGGACCGAACCGACUAAUGUUGAAAAAUUAGCGGAUGACUUGUGGCUGGGGGUGAAAGGCCAAUCAAACCGGGAGAUAGCUGGUUCUCCCCGAAAGCUAUUUAGGUAGCGCCUCGUGAAUUCAUCUCCGGGGGUAGAGCACUGUUUCGGCAAGGGGGUCAUCCCGACUUACCAACCCGAUGCAAACUGCGAAUACCGGAGAAUGUUAUCACGGGAGACACACGGCGGGUGCUAACGUCCGUCGUGAAGAGGGAAACAACCCAGACCGCCAGCUAAGGUCCCAAAGUCAUGGUUAAGUGGGAAACGAUGUGGGAAGGCCCAGACAGCCAGGAUGUUGGCUUAGAAGCAGCCAUCAUUUAAAGAAAGCGUAAUAGCUCACUGGUCGAGUCGGCCUGCGC
rnacentral:rRNA from 1 species